rnacentral:rRNA from 1 species
AUUGAACGCUGGCGGCAUGCUUUACACAUGCAAGUCGGACGGCAGCACAGAGAAGCUUGCUUCUUGGGUGGCGAGUGGCGAACGGGUGAGUAACAUAUCGGAACGUACCGAGCAGUGGGGGAUAACUAAUCGAAAGAUUAGCUAAUACCGCAUAUAUUCUGAGGAAGAAAGCAGGGGACCAUUUGGCCUUGCGCUGUUUGAGCGGCCGAUAUCUGAUUAGCUAGUUGGUGGGGUAAAGGCCUACCAAGGCGACGAUCAGUAGCGGGUCUGAGAGGAUGAUCCGCCACACUGGGACUGAGACACGGCCCAGACUCCUACGGGAGGCAGCAGUGGGGAGUUUUGGACAAUGGGCGCAAGCCUGAUCCAGCCAUGCCGCGUGUCUGAAGAAGGCCUUCGGGUUGUAAAGGACUUUUGUCAGGGAAGAAAAGGGCGGGGUUAAUACCCCUGUCUGAUGACGGUACCUGAAGAAUAAGCCCCG